rnacentral:rRNA from 1 species
GACGAACGCUGGCGGCGUGCUUAACACAUGCAAGUCGAACGGAAAGGCCCUGCUUUUGUGGGGUGCUCGAGUGGCGAACGGGUGAGUAACACGUGAGUAACCUGCCCUUGACUUUGGGAUAACUUCAGGAAACUGGGGCUAAUACCGGAUAGGAGCUCCUGCUGCAUGGUGGGGGUUGGAAAGUUUCGGCGGUUGGGGAUGGACUCGCGGCUUAUCAGCUUGUUGGUGGGGUAGUGGCUUACCAAGGCUUUGACGGGUAGCCGGCCUGGGAGGGUGACCGGCCACAUUGGGACUGAGAUACGGCCCAGACUCCCACGGGAGGCAGCAGUGGGGAAUAUUGCACAAUGGGCGGAAGCCUGAUGCAGCAACGCCGCGUGCGGGAUGACGGCCUUCGGGUUGUAAACCGCUUUCGCCUGUGACGAAGCGUGAGUGACGGUAAUGGGUAAAGAAGCACCGGCUAACUACGUG